CGCGGGGUGGAGCAGCUCGGUAGCUCGCUGGGCUCAUAACCCAGAGGUCGCAGGUUCGAAUCCUGCCCCCGCUACCA
rnacentral:tRNA from 38 species